GCGUAAGGGUAAGGUAGGAGGUUUGUGUUCGGUUGUCUUGGAAGGAAGGCAGAUAGGUCUAGAGCGGCUGCGGCUGCGGCCGGCGGAGGAGGAGGUGGAGGGGGCGUGGCAGGGAGGCCGCCGCCGCCUCGGGGCGCGCGGCCGAGCCGGUGCUACGUCGGCCACGGCCCGCGGCGUGGGUGGAGGAGGAGGAGCAAGCCGCUGCGGGCCGAGUUCGGGGGAAGGGGAGGGGGGGCGGGAACCGUGAGGGUGGAGAGGAUUGAGGGAGGGGAGCAGAGGGGAGGAGAUGCACGGCGGAGUGGGUCGAUUGGGGGAGAGGGAGUGAGCGGGGACGGAGCGGCGGGGAAGGCGCCGUAAAGAGCUGGUGGUAGACGCGUAGGCAACUAGCCGCUGACUGGGGUGGGUCGAGUCGAGUCGUGGAGUCACUGUUCGCUGAGGUACCCACUAAACCGAACACUAAGACUUUCUCACGACUACCUCCGAGUGCCACGGAGAAGAGAGACGUUCCUACUGUACCAAGACGACCUCCUCCGUGAAGGAGGUCGUCCCGUCUGAGGUCCAAGAACACACCUUGAGGCAGUAUUGGUCCUCCCUUGAGUAUUUGUUCGUUCCCUACGACCAAGAAACCUGUUACUUCAACUAUAGAGUCCAAGAGGGUCGAGUCCUUAUUUCUCUCCGUUUCCUCCACUACCCUUGAGGGCACGUUAGAGGCUAGUGUCACUUGGUUUGCGGAGAAGUUGAAUACUCGCGAACGGCAGGAAAGGCAGCUGCAGUUCCGAAGAGCAGAGACGAUACUUUCCUCCGGCGCUCUCUUCGCCGCCACUUCGUAGCGGUUGACCUCGGACGGCGCACUUCACCCGGGGUCUACAUAUGCUGGGGGGCCAGUGGAGACAGCUGGUGUGCCACUUCCCGGUGGUUGUCGCGAGGUCCAGGUCCUUCUUCCUGUUCCCGUUCGUCUUUGUCUUCGUCUUCUUCUCCUUCAGCACGCCCUUGCCGUUCUUCUCGCCACCGGAGGUACUACGGCGGGUGUUGGGCGGACGAGAGCUGCACGGGCCCGGUAGAAGGGGGCUGCUUGAUCCGAAUCCGCUUCACUUCCUCCGACUCCACGACCUGAUGUCGCGGAAGCUGCCAGUUCUCGGGUUCACGCCUCCGCCGAAGAGUGUGCUCUAGCGGCGCCGCGCCUGCACAAAGGGGCGGCGGCUCCGCAGUACUCGCGGCUGCCACCGGGCCCUGGGGCCUGGGGCCUCCUCCACAUCUAUCUAUGCCAACCACAUGUAUUUAUUCUCUUUAGGUCCGACACACUCUACUCUACUCUACGGGAAAGAUAUAUUCGAAAACCGACACCGUAGGAAAUAACCAUUCAUCACAUCACACGAUGUGCAACACACGACGACAAAGCAAACAUCGGUGCCUGACUACUCUAGACUUUUAUUAACUUAGGAGAAAACUCCCUCUACGGCUCAGGAACACGAUUAGAAUAGAACCGUAGGUAACGAGUGACCAGUCACUAGUCGUCCUCGUCGUCGUAGUCGACGAGCUGUGACGACCAUAGUCCAGUGUAGUCAGUAGUCACCGUCUGACAACUCGAUCGAUCGAUCGACCAAUGAAUUUCACCGUUCCGACCACACGUGCUACUCUCCUCCUUGUUUCGAGUUUAGGUGGUCUCGUCUCGUAACUAGGGAGGGAGUGCCGGUACCGGCGGCGGUGGCUCGUCGAGGAGGAGGGGGUCCUCGUCGGGGCGGCGGCGGCUGGCCAUACCCCCGAACGGCAGCGACGGGAUGACGACCACGACGACGAGCGGCGGCGGCCGGGAGAGGCAGGAUCCGACAAGGCGUGCGGCGGCGGUCGUCUCGCGCAGCGCGAGUGGGAGGAGAGGCCGCGCUUCCUCUUCCCGCGUCACACGCACCUGCCUUGUGGCGGGCCAAUGGUGGACGUCUCCCCGAGGCCGCUGCCGCGGCUGGCAACCGAGCAGGUAGAUCUCCAUACAUGGUAUGGUAGGUAGUUAAUACGGUAUUGUAACGAGACAAAAAGACAAGGGAAAAGUACUCAAUCCGUUAGUUUAAUCGGCGGUGGUUUUUAUAUAUAACGUUGUUUUAAAGUAUUAGUUUUAGACGAAACUGUAUCUCUCUCUGGGCC
rnacentral:rRNA from 1 species